GACAGAGGUGCCAAGCGUUAGGCGGAAUCACUGGGCUUAAAGCGUGUGUAGGCGGAUGCCUAAGUACCUUGUGAAAUCCCACGGCUCAACCGUGGAACUGCUUGGUAUACUGGGUGUCUUGAGCCAUCUAGGGGCUACCGGAACAAAUGGUGGAGCGGUGAAAUGCGUAGAUAUCAUGUGGAACGCCAAUGGUGAAAACAGGUAGCUGGGGAUGUGCUGACGCUGAGACACGAAAGCCAGGGGAGCAAACGGG
rnacentral:rRNA from 1 species